UAAGUAUAGCAGAUGAUCGCAGGUAGAAAUACAUGAGGAAAGUCGGAGCUCCAUAGAGCAGGGUGCUAGAUAACGUCUAGUGAGAGCAAUCUUAAGGAUAGUGCAACAGAAAUAAACCGCCAUUAUUAUGGUAAGGAUGGAAAGGCGAGGUAAGAGCUCACCAGCACAUAGGUGACUAUGUGGCUAUGUAAACCCCACCUGGUGCAAGGCCAAGUUAGGAUAAAGAGAUGUUGCUCGCAUCUCCCGGUAGGUAGGCCGCUUGAGUUUAUCGGUGACGAUACGCCUAGAAAGAUGAUCAUCUAAUACAGAACUCCGCUUAUAGCUAUGCUUAAUAA
rnacentral:RNase_P_RNA from 1 species